GAGUUAUGUACUGUGCAUGGUUGCUGCAGUUAUUUCAGAUAGGAAUGAAAUGCCAAUGUAGUUCCAAGCCAUGAUGCUAAAGGGGAAUCUGAUAGUGUUUCCAUUGUAUCUACUACUCCUGGCCUAUGUGGUGGUGGUGGUCAUUGCUUUGGAAGGUGCAGCCAAAUGAGAUUGGUCCUGGGUUUCUGGAGUGGCUGUGGAAGUGAUGGGAGAAUGGGGCUAGGUGCAAGUCAGGGCUGCCAAAGCAAGGACUUGCAGGCCAGAUCCACCACAUCAAAGCCAACAUGCAUCGCCACUACAACGAGGCCCCACUAACCUGCUGAAGUCGUCACCAUUUCAAUCCUCGCCUCAAGCCGCCAUAUUUCUGCCAUAGAAACGAGGAACGACCCGGAUGCUGCUGCCGCACCACGACCAGGAGGAACAGGCCAGACCCAUCGAUGGUGGAGCCUCCAGUAAAACCCCGGUCACUAAUGACCACGAGGGAUGGAUAUCUGGAUACACCAGGCUGCCAUAACUGCAGCAGGCCCUUGCAACCACCUUCCCUCACCGCAGCCGCAGAAAAGGUGAACUUUGACACAAAGAAAUUAAGAAACAAGAAAAACAAAAUGCGACCGGCCAGGUGAACAGGAGAGUACGAGCACAGAGUCCGAACACUUCCUAUGUGCCACAGCUGCCAUCUUGAAAAUGGUUUGGUGUCAAAAUUUACUUGGUAAUUGUUUUGUGAUGGCCUAGGUAUUUUAGUACAUUAAAUGUAAAUGCAAGGUG